AGCGAACCCGAAGCGCCAAUACAAUCGCUGAACCAACUCCCUGUGGUUACCAACCUUGCCAGUGCAAGAUCAGCCUGAUCACGAAGAUUGAUUCAUGUCCGCAAUCAAAGAACGAACAAGAAAAAGAGGCGAGCAAUCUAAAUAUCACUCGAAGGUGGAGUUCUGAAUCACACAAGGACAGCGCGUAUUUGCGCGUGUUCGAGAGUAGCUAAAGCUAGAUGUAAAACAAAACUCAAGUCUGAAAAUAAACAUAGACUCUAUCUAAAUAGAGGAGAGGAGGGGGCGCAGCCCCUAGCGGCCAAGAGGGGGCGUGCGACCAGGAGGGGCGCGCGGCAAGGAGGGGGGCGUGCAUGCCCCUGCCACCCAACCCUAGGCGCCCACACAUGGGCCUCCUGUUGGACCAGCUUCUAUUCUUCUGGGCCUUCAUUCUUUAGUAGCAUGACGAAGGUCAA
rnacentral:lncRNA from 1 species